rnacentral:rRNA from 1 species
UACGAAGGGUGCAAGCGUUGUUCGGAAUCAUUGGGCGUAAAGCGCGCGCAGGCGGAUCAGCAAGUCAGAUGUGAAAUCUCGAAGCUCAACUUCGAAACUGCGUCUGAAACUGCUAGUCUAGAAUGUCGGAGGGGGCAGGGGAAUUUCACGUGUAGGGGUAAAAUCCGUAGAGAUGUGAAGGAACACCGGGGGCGAAGGCGCCUGCCUGGACGACUAUUGACGCUGAGGCGCGAAAGCGUGGGGAGCGAACAGG